GAUGAACGCUAGCGGCAGGCCUAAUACAUGCAAGUCGAACGGUAGAUUUGGUAGCAAUACUGAAUUGAGAGUGACGUAAGGGUGCGUAACACGUAUGCAAUCUGCCCUCAACAGGAGUAUAGCUCGGGGAAACUCGGAUUAACCCUCCAUAAGAUCUUAGGGUGGCAUCACCUAGAGAUUAAAACUUCGGUGGUUGAGGAUGAGCAUGCGCAUGAUUAGUUAGUUGGAGGUGUAACGGACCCCCAAGACGAUGAUCAUUAGGGGAACUGAGAGGUUGAUCCCCCACACUGGCACUGAGAUACGGGCCAGACUCCUACGGGAGGCAGCAGUAGGGAAUAUUGGUCAAUGGGCGGAAGCCUGAUCCAGCCAUGCCGCGUGAAGGAAGAAUGCGCUCAGCGUUGUAAACUUCUUUUGAAUGGGAACAAUAAUCCCGACGUGUCGGGACUUGAGGGUACCAUUAGAAUAAGCACCGGCUAACUCCGUGCCAG
rnacentral:rRNA from 1 species